CAAAUUUUUCUGGAGGAAACAUUACAACCUCUGUUGUUUUACGUGUAAAAUGUGUUCAUCAUAACAUAACGAUUGAGCCUGAACUGGCAGAUGUCACAGAGGGCGUCGCAAAGAACUUCAUUUGUAGUGUCUACCAUUCCUGCCAGAAAGAGAAUCCAAACAUCACAUGGAACUAUGAGAACAUGCAGGUCACAGAGUGGAGCAAAACACUUUCUGGUUUAAAUUGGGUCAUCUACUCUAACAUAACCUUUCUGGGUGCAAAAGUAGAUCAUGAGAAGAAAUUGAUAUGUACUGCAAAAAUUUUCUGGAAGAGACAUUAUGGCAUCUGUUGUCUUAAAUGUGCAAUACCCAGUGCUCAGUGGACUGGAGACUAUUGGUCUUUAUAUCCUAACGCCAUCACUUGUGUUCCUUCUGGUUUGUAUACUUGCUGGAGUCAUCAUAUACAAGAAGCGACAAAGGUCAAAAGAUGCAAUGUCAGGAAACAAGGCAUUCUCCAAACCUUAUAUGCCGUCACCAAAGAGUGAUCCAAAAUCCUGCUCUCGUUAUGAUUAUGAAGCUGAAUACACCAACAUGGACAAACUCAACAUGUAUGGAAAUAUCUGAUGAAAACAACAUCAAAGCAAAAUGGGCU
rnacentral:lncRNA from 1 species